AGUGGCGUGUCCUGGACCCGAAGCGGGGUGAUCUACCCAUGGCCAGUGUGAAGCAGCUGUAAGAGGCUGUGGAGGCGCGAACCCACUUAGGUUGAAAACUGAGGGGAUGAGCUGUGGGUAGGGGUGAAAGGCCAAUCAAACUCCGUGAUAGCUGGUUCUCCCCGAAAUGCAUUUAGGUGCAGCGUCGUGUGUUUCUUGCCGGAGGUAGAGCUACUGGUUGGUUGAGCGGGACUAUCAUCUUAGCGACGUCAGCCAAACUCCGAAUGCCGGUAAGUCAGAGCGCGGCAGUGAGACUGCGGGGGAUAAGCUUCGUUAGUCGAGAGGGAAACAGCCCAGAUCGCCGGUUAAGGCCCCUAAGAGUGUGCUAAGUGGAAAAGGAUGUGGGAUCGCGAAGACAGCCAGGAGGUUGGCUUAGAAGCAGCCAUCCUUGAAAGAGUGCGUAAUAGCUCACUGGUCGAGUGGUUCUGCGCCGACAAUGUAGUGGGGCUCAAGUACACCGCCGAAACCGCGGAACUCAAUCUUUUGGUUGGGUUGGUAGGGGAGCGUCGUGUGAUCGUUGAAGCUGCCGGGUAACCGUGUGGUGGAGGUUAUGCGAGUGAGAAUGCAGGCAUGAGUAGCGAAUGAUAUGUGCGAAACAUAUCCGCCGGAUGACUAAGGGUUCCUGGGUCAAGCUAAUCUUCCCAGGGUGAGUCGGGUCCUAAGGCGAGGCCGACAGGCGUAGUCGAUGGUUAACGGGUUGAUAUUCCCGUACCCGUGUGUGUGCGACCAAUGGUGAAUCAGUGAUACUAACCACCCUGAAGGAUGCUGCAUGCAUUUUGUGUGUGUGGUGUGUGGAUGCGUGGGACCUGAUCUGGUAGUAGCCAAGCGAUGGGGUGACGCAGGAAGGUAGCCAAGCCACUGAUUGGAUUGUGGUGUAAGCGUGUGGCCCGCGGGAUAGGUAAAUCCGUUCUGCGUUGUGGGUGAGGCGUGAUGCGUACCCGUUGUGGGGAUGUUGGUGAUCCUAUGCUGUCGAGAAAAGCCUCUAGUGAGUGCAUGUACGGCCCGUACCGUAAACCGACACAGGUGGUCAGGUAGAGAAUACUAAGGCGUUCGGGUGAACUGUGGUUAAGGAAUUCGGCAAAAUGGCCCCGUAACUUCGGGAGAAGGGGUGCCACUGCUGGUGAACGACGUGUUGAGCUGGUGGUGGUCGCAGAGAAUAGAGGGAAGCGACUGUUUACUAAAAACACAGGUCCGUGCGAAGACUUUAAGUCGAUGUAUACGGACUGACGCCUGCCCGGUGCUGGAAGGUUAAGAGGACCUGUUAGACCCUUGGGUCGAAGCGGAGAAUUUAAGCCCCAGUAAACGGCGGUGGUAACUAUAACCAUCCUAAGGUAGCGAAAUUCCUUGUCGGGUAAGUUCCGACCUGCACGAAUGGCGUAACGACUUCCCUGCUGUCUCAACCACAGGCCCGGUGAAAUUGCAGUACGAGUAAAGAUGCUCGUUACGCGCGGCAGGACGAAAAGACCCCGGGACCUUCACUAUAGCUUGGUAUUGGUGUUCGGUUCGGUUUGUGUAGGAUAGGUGGGAGACUGUGAAGUGGUCACGCUAGUGGUUGUGGAGUCGUUGGUGAAAUACCACUCUGAUCGGAUUGGGCAUCUGAACCUCGGCCCGUGAUCCGGGUUAGGGACAGUGCCUGGUGGGUAGUUUAACUGGGGCGGUUGCCUCCCAAAGUGUAACGGAGGCGCCCAAAGGUUCCCUCAGCCUGGUUGGCAAUCAGGUGUUGAGUGUAAGUGCACAAGGGAGCUUGACUGUGAGACUGACAGGUCGAGCAGGUACGAAAGUAGGGACUAGUGAUCCGGCACCGGCUUGUGGAAGCGGUGUCGCUCAACGGAUAAAAGG
rnacentral:rRNA from 1 species